rnacentral:rRNA from 1 species
AUUGAACGCUGGCGGCAGGCCUAACACAUGCAAGUCGAGCGAGCGGCGCACGGGUGAGUAAUGUCUGGGAAACUGUGUGAUGUAGGGGGAUAACUACUGUAAACGGUAGCUAAUACCGCAUACCAUCAGAUGUGCCCAGAUGUGAUUAGCUAGUAGGUGGGGUAACGGCUCACCUAGGCGACGCUCCCUAGCUGGUCUGAGAGGAUGACCAGCCACACUGGAACUGAGACACGGUCCAGACUCCUACGGGAGGCAGCAGUGGGGAAUAUUGCACAAUGGGCGCAAGCCUGAUGCAGCCAUGCCGCGUGUAUGAAGAAGGCCUUCGGGUUGUAAAGCACUUUCAGCGGGGAGGCGUUACCCGCAGAAGAAGCACCGGCUAACUCCGUGCCAGCAGCCGCGGUAAUAC